CUUGAACCUUCCUUUACAUCUCUCAGUUUCCAAACUCAUUUUCGCCAACCCUACUUCUUUCCCGCGCCAUUUAUCUACGUUUCUUGGAUUUCAGUUCGCGUCUUGAAGCCUUCGCGUCUCGAACGUUGUUCUUCACGUUUUCUGCAUUUCAAACAAGACGUGGAGUUCUCGCGCAAGGAGCAUGGCAAAGGAGGAGAUUUAGGUUCGGUUUUGGUAGAGAGGAAACGCAAGUUUCGGCGGCCAGGCGCGACCUCCAUCCUUACCGUGCGUGGUGGGUACCACGGCGGUGACGUCUUCACGGCGCAGGGAUGGGCUUCGCUAAAUAGGGGAGAUACAUGUUUCGACCAUGGUGUUUGUAUGCAAGAGCAACAAUUGAUCACUGGAACAUUAUGAUGAUCGAGCUUAAUUAAGACAAUAAAGAUUUUUGACUUUAGUCUCUCUUGUUGGUUGUAGGGAGAUACAUGUUUCGACCAUGGUGUUUGUAUGCAAGAGCAACAAUUGAUCACUGGAACAUUAUGAUGAUCGAGCUUAAUUAAGACAAUAAAGAUUUUUAUCUCAACAUGAAACUUUGCUCUGUUAUCUUCACAUGAAAGGCUUCAGAGGAAUGAAUGGAUUUACUUUUAGAACAUAUUUCAAUUACAAUAUAUAGGAUUCGUACGUACUUCGUUUCUUUGGUAGCACCUUGAAUAAUAUUAAAGUCAACAGUUCUAGACAGAUUUGUAUUAAUGUAAAGUUUCAAACUUACCCCUACUUAUGAUCUUGGUGUCAAAAGUUGCAUCCAUAAAGCUAUCUUCCCUUCUCUUUUACUUAAAUAUUUUUAAUUCAUUUUUUUAAUCUCUUAUUGAUUAGCUCCUUCAUCUUCUACCCAGAAUAAUUAUAUUAUUUUUGUAUGCAAGGGCUUUACAGGGAAACUAAAAUGAAGUUGGUGCAAAGUGUGCAAACGGUGGGUGGUAGGAAGGUUUGGGAAGCAGUGGUUGGAUAUCCAGGGAAACUUUAGGUAACAAUUUGCUUUCAGGACGCAAAAGAUCAUUGUAGGCAGGCUAGGCUCCUAACUACAGGUGAACUGUAGUAAACUAAAGCUAUCGCAGCAUAUAAAACUGAUGAAGUGUCUGCUCUCAGAUAUUCACUUUCUUUGAAGUCUGAACCUGAACGUAACCAUAACCCAACUAAAAGAAAGACAACUUCAAAUGCAUUUCAUCUCCACACAGAGGAAAUAGGUGCUGAGAAAGAGAAGAAAUUGAUCAUGGAACUUCUGCACAAAGAGUUGGAGGAGGAAAUAGCAAGGAUUCCCAAGGCUAAUCCAUACCCUUACACCACCGAUUAUCUUGUGAUCCCACCAAAACCAUGAUAGUUAGAAAUUUGAUUAACUGGUUGAAUACCCAAAUUUAUAUAAAGAUCCAAAUUAAUUGGUUGAGCACGAUACCACGCCUUACGUAUCUUUUCCAUCAACCUUGUUUUCCUUCAUUCUCCUGUUGCUUUUUAGUGCUGGUUUGGUAUCAUUCUGAGAGCAGGAAGCACUUCAACCCCAAGUUUGAAAAAUGUUUAUUAUUGGUUUUUUCUUCUUGUUAUAUUAAUAUAUGUUUUGGUUUUGAAGGUGCUUUGUUCAUGUUGCAUCUUAGUCUCCCCUGUCCUAUUAAGGUUUACUGUUAAAUUCUGUUGUUUCCUUGUUAAAGUUAAAAACAUAAAAGAAAGAUGAAUUUUAUGCGUGAAAAUUUUCCUAUAAUAUUGGAAAGAUGUGCAAAAAUAGUUAUACAUAGCCUAUUGAAAGAAAAAUCAUAAAAUAUAAAAUAUUUAUAUAAUAAAUUAUGUUAAAUACUAACAUUAAUCAUUUGCAGAUUUUUUGUUCCAUGAAAACAGAAUUAUAUUUUCUAACUUAGGUUUCUCAAAUAUGGUACACAUUCAAUAAUUUGUAUUAUUUAGCAUAGUUCUACCUUUUCAAGUGAUUUAGCUUUAACGUAGUAGGUUGAAAAAAUCAUUGAUUUAUUCAUGAUGAAUUAUCCUUUUUCAUUAUUUGAUUAGGUAAUUUAGAGUUGAUAGGUUUCAUUUUGAUUGGAUGAAUAAAAGCAUGACAAUUAGUAAUACUAUAGCAGAAACUCUGUUCAAAUUUCAUUGAUUGCAGGGACAACAUAUUUGGUAGUAUUAACGUGUGGUAAUGGGCUACCAAGAGUUUCACUUCCCAAAAUGGCAAGUCUAUGAUUUAUUGCUAAUGAAUGCCACUUGGUAAAAUGGUAUAUGAUAGAUGAACCAUAUCAAAUGACGAUGAAAAUGAUGAACAAGAAUAAUGAUGAAAAUGAUGAACAAGAAUAAUGAUGAAAAUGAAGAACAAGAAUGAUGAUGAAAAUGAAGAACAAGCAUGAUAAUUAUUAUUCAUAAUAUUUUUUGAUUUGUUAUGUAAAAGAUGUUUAUUUUUAAUUUUUAGGAUUGAACAUAUAUUAUUUCUUAAGUUGAAAAAUUAAUUGUUUUUAAAAUUUUAGAGUUUAUUUUAUAUUAUAAUAAUUACUUUUGGUUUUUA